rnacentral:rRNA from 1 species
CAUAGCGACUAUCGUGGCAUAUCAAUAAGCGGAGGAAAAGAAACUAACAAGGAUUCCCUUAGUAACGGCGAGUGAAGCGGGAAGAGCUCAAAUUUGAAAUCUUCAAGGUUUUACCUUGACGAAUUGUAGUUUAAAGAAGUGUUUUCUGUUGAAGUUUUGGUAAAAGUUCUUUGGAAUAGGACAUCAUAGAGGGUGAGAAUCCCGUAUUUGACCAUUAUUUUCAGCUGUGUGAUACACUUUCAAAGAGUCGGAUUGUUUGGGAAUGCAGUCCAAGAUGGGUGGUAAAUUUCAUCUAAAGCUAAAUAUUGGCGAGAGACCGAUAGCGAACAAGUACCGUGAGGGAAAGAUGAAAAGAACUUUGAAAAGAGAGUUAAACAGUACGUGAAAUUGUCAAAAGGGAAGCGUUUGACACCAGUGUUGUUUUUCCGAAAAUCAAUUAUAAAUGUUUUGUUUCUGAGGAGUGAUGACUUCAUCGGCUUCCUUCUCUCUUUACGAAACUUUCUUAAUGCACUUUUCGGUUAACAAGUCAACAUCAAUUUCUUUUGUUGUAAAAGGGUAUGAGGAAGGUGGCUUUCUUUUCGGAGAAAGUGUUUAUAGCCUUGUGCCUCUGCAAUCGGAGAGAUUGAGGUCUGCAGCGUAGAUCCUUCGGGGUUAGAUACGUUUGUGUUAAGUUAUAGCUUUUCAUAGACAACUUGUUGACUAUGUUUAGUCUUGUAGCUUACUCGCUGACGCUAUUUUACCUACGCUUAGGAUGUUGAUAUGCAUGACUGAUAU